CCCCCCAAAAAAAGGUGCCGGAGCUUCUCCCGUUU
rnacentral:tRNA from 1 species